UUAAUUAAAGCCAAAAAGCGGCCUAUCACUGUUAAUGAUAAAAUUGAAAGCGACUUUCUAAUUAAA
rnacentral:tRNA from 1 species